rnacentral:rRNA from 1 species
GCUUCCUACGGGAGGCAGCAGUAGGGAAUCUUCCGCAAUGGACGAAAGUCUGACGGAGCAACGCCGCGUGAGUGAUGAAGGCUUUCGGGUCGUAAAACUCUGUUGUUAGGGAAGAACAAGUACGAGAGUAACUGCUCGUACCUUGACGGUACCUAACCAGAAAGCCACGGCUAACUACGUGCCAGCAGCCGCGGUAAUACGUAGGUGGCAAGCGUUGUCCGGAAUUAUUGGGCGUAAAGCGCGCGCAGGCGGUCCUUUAAGUCUGAUGUGAAAGCCCACGGCUCAACCGUGGAGGGUCAUUGGAAACUGGGGGACUCGAGUGCAGGAGAGAAGAGUGGAAUUCCACGUGUAGCGGUGAAAUGCGUAGAGAUGUGGAGGAACACCAGUGGCGAAGGCGACUCUUUGGCCUGUAGCUGACGCUGAGGCGCGAAAGCGUGGGGAGCAAACAGGAUUAGAUACCCUGUAGUCCACGCCGUAAACGAUGAGUGCUAAGUGUUAGAGGGUUUCCGCCCUUUAGUGCUGCAGUAAACGCACUAAGCACUCCGCCUGGGGAGUACGGCCGCAAGGCUGAAACUCAAAGGAAUUGACGGAGC